CCUACGGGUGGCAGCAGUGGGGAAUAUUGCACAAUGGGGGAAACCCUGAUGCAGCGACGCCGCGUGAAGGAUGAAGUAUUUCGGUAUGUAAACUUCUAUCAGCAGGGAAGAAAAUGACGGUACCUGACUAAGAAGCCCCGGCUAACUACGUGCCAGCAGCCGCGGUAAUACGUAGGGGGCAAGCGUUAUCCGGAUUUACUGGGUGUAAAGGGAGCGUAGACGGCAUGGCAAGUCUGAUGUGAAAACCCGGGGCUCAACCCCGGGACUGCAUUGGAAACUGUCAGGCUAGAGUGUCGGAGAGGCAAGUGGAAUUCCUAGUGUAGCGGUGAAAUGCGUAGAUAUUAGGAGGAACACCAGUGGCGAAGGCAGCUUACUAAACUGCCACUGACAUUGAUGCUCGAAAGUGUGGGUAUCAAACAGGAUUAGAUACCCUUGUAGUC
rnacentral:rRNA from 1 species